rnacentral:rRNA from 1 species
GACGUAGGGUCCAAGCGUUGUCCGGAUUUACUGGGCGUAAAGGGCUCGUAGGCGGCCAACUAAGUCAGACGUGAAAUCCCUCGGCUUAACCGGGGAACUGCGUCUGAUACUGGAUGGCUUGAAUCCGGGAGAGGGAUGCGGAAUUCCAGGUGUAGCGGUGAAAUGCGUAGAUAUCUGGAGGAACACCGGUGGCGAAGGCGGCAUCCUGGACCGGCAUUGACGCUGAGGAGCGAAAGCCAGGGGAGCAAACGGG